CAGCCAUUUCUACAUAAAGAUGCCUCUGCUUCAGUACCAGUGAAAUGCAAUGGGGAGGGAGGAUCUCUUCUCAAUAUUUCCCCCAUCAUAUGCAUUUUUGUAAACCUUGGUUAGAGAACUUCAUUGAAAAAUUUGGAGAUGAUAAAGUGCGAAAUGGCCCAUCAUGAUAUAUGAUUCCAGUUUCCAACAGAUGGGAAAUGUGUGUGUAAGUGUUGUAGUGUCCUGCAGGUGGCAGCACAUGUCUCAGAAGAGCACCAUUGUUUCUUCAUCUGAGUAUCUCAUUACAGAGCCACAUUUUUGGCUGACGUUGUCAUACUUAGUUUUGAACGGUAAAUGCACCCAAACGGGCUGUGUUGGGAAGACAGCAAUACAGUGGCUUGAUGAUGCCAAUAAAAACAGGUGCAGGAAGGAAGCAGGAUUUCUUGCAGAAAACCACAGGGGAGCGGUUCACCCCAAGCAUCAGAGGAUUCCAUCUGGAUCGUGCAACUUUUAUAGGCCUGUAGGGGAUGGAUGGAUGACCUAGUAGUUCAUUCAUAGGAGUGGAGAUGAUUGGUUUCAGUUCCUGCUUAAAUCUCUGUUGGAUCCCAGUAGUACGGUGACAGGGCUUGUGCACAAGCUGUUCGUGGUACAGAUAAACCCAUUUCUUAUGCCUUUUUUAUAAUGUUCUCAUGCUGACAUCUGCAUAUUUUGUGGCAUGGCAACAUUCAUGUUUUCAGCCCCUUCGCUGUGAAAUUUUGUGAGUCAAACCAUCUGGGAAGGGCUGGCAUCUAAGGUUGACAUGGUUGGGCACCUGCUGUGGGCCCACACUCCAGCAGGGGGCCCUCUGACAAGAGCCUACUGGGAGUGCUCCUCCCCUUCAUCGUUGCAACCUGUUCGUUGACCUGUCUCUUGUAACGGCUGGUAGACACCAGCAGUGGUAAGCAGGAGGAGCUGCCACUGCCUGCCUACUCAUUGGCUCUGUCUGGAAAGGACAAAUAGACAGUAGUAACAACGAAGCAGAGCAGUAGGAGCAGUGGUGAUGGGGGUAGACUCACUGAAAGAUGGGAGCCCCCUGAAUACAUCUUCCCCAAAGGCCCUCCACAACCUGGUGCUGCCGCUGUCUUUGGGUUUUGUCAUGAGAAUGCAUCAGGGACUUAACCAGUGGAGGGUGAUCGAUCCAGACAAUUGGGGCGCUGCCACACCAAGCUCAGUCUGCUUUCAGGCAGGCCCCAUCUGCCUGCCUCCAUACUUACAACCACCUUCAGCACCUUGGAUAGCUUCUUGAGACUUCAGACUAAAACCCAGAGCAGAUUCCACUGCUCCACUAAUGUGGAGCCACCAGCCACCACUGAUUACACCCAGUCUAGGGGGGGUUGACACUGCCUGUCAGCAGCCUUCUGAGUUUCGGGGUGCCUCUGUAGAACUCAGCAGGGAGAAGGAUACGGAUAAAACCAGAAUUAGUUGUUUGCCUGUCAUUGGCUUCAGAUCCACCAGUCCUCUGCUUUGGCUCCACCUACUGAUGUCCUCCUUUCCUUCUGCACUACCAGUCCCAGAGGCGCCAGUCUCCACUGGACUUAACGUGAACCUAGUUCCUUGUCCUGAAACAAUUUUUUAAUAUUGGGGCUCAUAUAAUGUACACAUACUUAUAUACACCACACUUACUGUCUGCCCUAGCCUAGGGCCUGGAGGAGUAACAGCCAGGGGAGGAGUCCUCUGGGGUCUCAGAGGAUCUUAACCCCCCCUUUUAUGGCAGGAGCAGGCUCCCAGCAGGGCCCCUAUUUCUCCAGCAUCCUACAAGCCAAUCAACAUGAAAUGGGAAUGUGUUAGCCACUGAGAACAAAUUCCAACAUGCUUCCUUAUCCUUUCCUGCUGAUUGGAGCAAAUCAGUGAAUGAAAGGAAGUGAGUCAGCCACUGAGAAGACUGUUUUCAGUAGCUGUCUCCCCUGUACUGCUGAUUGGCUUGUAGCGAUGUCUGUUGUGGGAGAAGGCAUUAACAAGGAUCUCAUUCUCAACCCAACAGCAAAAGAAAAAAGGGAGAGGGAUGUAGCUGUGACCUUCGUGAAGGAACCCUGAGCUUCUGAAUUUGCUACUACAUUGCUGGUAACAGGAUUCAGGAGGGAAAAGCAAUUUUCAUCUUUCCAGAUAUAUUUAUAUAUGUAUAUCCCACCUUGAUUCUAAUAUGGAACUAAUGUUGGCAUACAUAGGGCUCCCUGUUAAUCUCCCAACCAAAUACUGACCCAACCCAGACCUGCUUAGCUGCCACAAUAAUGCUGCAUCAUGUACCUUGUUCAGACCAUGCCUUGAGACCACCAACAAAUUUAUAUAUGCUUCAUUGUUGAUGUUUUUAUUGCUUCAUAAUGUUUCAUGGGAAGCAAUUCAGAAAUGAAUUAAAUAAGUUCGGUUCUACUCAUUAGGGCUGAAAUUGCUUUUAAAUAUAUUUUUUAAGCUUUUUUAAAAAAGAUGUUUUAGAGAGGUUUUGUUUUCAUAUAUUUUAAAGUCUCUUUUUAAGAUGUUUUAGGAUGGUGUUAGUGUUUUCUUUGUUGCCAAGGCUCUGCCUGGGAGGAAGGGUGGGGUAUAAAUUUAAUAAAUAAAUAAAUUAAAAUUGAGAGUGGUUGCCUGUCCCACUGCUGUUUGGAAUGUUCUUAGCAAUGCAAAGAUGAUUGUUGUGAAUUGCCACAGUGGUUAUUUUGUAUAUAUUUAAACUUCAUUUGGGCAAUCACAGCUGUGUGCUCUUUUCCUUGCCAUUUUGACCCUAUUGUUUUCAUGUUCCCUACUCUACAACCAGGGAUAUAUCUGCUUGACAACUGACAGCAGCACUUAAUGCAUCUGAUGAAGUGACGUCUAGUCCACAAAAUAUUUUAAGGGGUACAAGUCUCUCAGGCACCAAUUCCACCCUCUGUCAAUUGUUGUAAUGCGCUUUUAAAAUGAUCUCCAGCUUCUGUUCUGUGAUGGUCAGAGCCAUGCAGUGGUUCAAGCCCAAGCAGGGGGUUUCAAAAGGAUUUCCAGUUCAAGGCAAGAGUUGUGGUUCAAGACAGGACAUUGGACAGCACCAAAUGGAGCUUAGUCUGGAGAUUCACA